GCCUGGGUGGCUCAGUCGGUGAAGCAUCCGACUUCGGCUCAGGUCAUGAUCUCGCAGUUCGUGGGUUCAAGCCCCGCGUCGGGCU
rfam:Felis catus isolate Cinnamon breed Abyssinian chromosome D2, whole genome shotgun sequence.